GUCACCCAUAUUUUCCUCAUCGCCUCCAUCUCUUCAGCCGCCACCACAGAUCUUCAACUGCUCAUGGAAGAUCUAUUCCAUUUCGAGAAAAAAAUUAUAGAUCGAGUCCGCCGUCCUUGUUCUUCCACAGUUCCGCUCAGAUCCAAUCGCCGAGAUAGGUGAACCCCAUCGCGGUGUUGUCGGUCUGCCGGUAGCGAAGUGAACCCCAUCUCCCUAGCGGCAGGCCUCUUCCGUGAGGUGCAGUGCGUGUAGGCGUGCACCCAGUGGUAGACGGCGUAACCCAUUGGAGUGGUGCUUGUGUCCUCGUACGAUGUGAAGAACGCACCCAGGAAAAGGUGUCAUGUCGAGGAUACCUAACCGACUGCGAAAGACCAGUUUUUUGCAGAAUGAGAUGCAGAAAAUGGUUUACAAGGUGCUGCACCGAUUGAUAACGUCUCACCAGAAAUGUAUAUUGAAUCUUCAGCCCAAGUAACAUAAAUUAUUUCAGAUGAGUAUGGUGUAUGAACCUGUGGUCAUGGUUGACGCUUGGCUAAGUGGAUUACAUGGUAGGUGUGCUCUACCAGAGAUUAGGUGCAUGACAGAGCAGAAGUAGCAGCGUAAUUAAUCUGUGCCUCACAUAUUGAGCUAAUUCUGGCAUGGGUUGACCUAUUGUUCUGUAAGACCGCAACAUCUUGGCUUGGGUAGCUACCUCUCGGAACUGAAUCCGUACAUGCAUUGUGUUAAUUUUCAUUUAUAUUGCUGCCUUUCAAGUAUUUCACUUUGGUUUUGCCUUGAGUGACUUAUAUAAGUAAACUAUGGUGGCAUCAAGGCUUAGAGUGAAGCCAUAGAUGUGAACCAUGCGGACUAAUUGUUUUUGUUCUUCAAGCUUAACAUACAUAUUUUAUGUUCCAUUGUUUCGCAACUUCAGGAGAUUGUUUGCAUUUGUAAUCUAUUCAUUGUUGUGAACUCAAAGAAUUGGUCCCUCGGCAUGAUUUACUUGUAAAGCCAAUGCCAACGUACAUUCUAUUUUGUUUUCUUCUCAGUUCUAAGCCUCUGUUUCAUCAGAUACCAAUAUACCAUGAGCAAUUAUCUAAUCCUCUGAAGUCUGAUUUAUCUAACUGCAGCAAUAUAUGUAAUCUUCUGAAUACUUUCUUAUUAACUACGUCACCAAGCAUCACUUUUGAUGUACAUGCUUUACAUGCUGAAUCCUUAGAGUGGCGUCUGAACUAAUCUCUGCUUUACUUGUAAAGCACUGUUUUAUACAGAACCAAUAUAUACUUAUUUUUUAUCUUCACUCAAGUAAGCACUCUAUAUUUCUAUAUGGUUGUUUAGUAUUUAGUAACUUUUUUUCCGUGCAGCUGCCAGUUGGUAUGCCAUAUGCAACUUUAUGCCAACAAAGAGCUAAAAUACCAAUGUGAAGAGAUGGUGCUUUCAUUAUACAGAUACUGCUCUGUCACGCCGGUGGCAUGUGCUUCAUUUGUGAAUGUGGAAAGAAUGGGCAAAGCUUUUGCCCUUGUUUAAAAAAAAAUGUGGAAAGAAGAACUUGUUUUUCAGCUGACAUUGUCUACAGAGAAAUUGUUUGUGAAUGUUUUUAAGCAACAACACAGAAUUUAAAGAAAAUCAACAUUAGUGGCCAUGGAGAGCUGAUGUAUCAUUUCCAUGCGGAAGCUUCCCCCUAUUCGAACUACUAGAAGAAAAUGUACAAGAUUUGCAGGAUUUUGCCUGGUCAAGAUUGUAACUGUUUCAUGAAAAUGUACAAUUGUA